GUAGUACUCCCUCCGUUCGGAAUUACUUGUCGCAGAAAUGGAUGUAUAUAGACAUAUUUUAAUUCUAGAUACAUCCAUUUCUGAGACAAGUAAUUCCGAACGGAGGGAGUAGAUG
rnacentral:pre_miRNA from 1 species